rnacentral:rRNA from 1 species
AGAGCUUGCUCUCUGGGUGGCGAGUGGCGGACGGGUGAGGAAUACAUCGGAAUCUACCUUUUCGUGGGGGAUAACGUAGGGAAACUUACGCUAAUACCGCAUACGACCUACGGGUGAAAGUGGGGGACCGCAAGGCCUCACGCGAUUAGAUGAGCCGAUGUCCGAUUAGCUAGGUUGGCGGGGUAAUGGCCCACCAAGGCGACAAUCGGUAGCUGGUCUGGAAAGGAUGAUCAGCCACACUGGAACUGAGACACGGUCCAGACUCCUACGGGAGGCAGCAGUGGGGAAUAUUGGACAAUGGGCGCAAGCCUGAUCCAGCCAUACCGCGUGGGUGAAGAAGGCCUUCGGGUUGUAAAGCCCUUUUGUUGGGAAAGAAAUCCUGUCGAUUAAUACUCGGUGGGGAUGACGGUACCCAAAGAAUAAGCACCGGCUAACUUCGUGCCA